UACGUAGGGGGCAAGCGUUGUCCGGAUUUAUUGGGCGUAAAGAGCGUGUAGGCGCCAGACAGGUCCGUUGUGAAAACUCGAGGCUCAACCUCGAGACGCCGAUGGAAACCGUCUGGCUAGAGUCCGGAAGAGGAGAGUGGAAUUCCUGGUGUAGGCGGUGAAAUGCGCAGAUAUCAGGAAGAACACCCGUGGCUAAGGCGGCUCUCUAGUACGGUACUGACGCUGAGACGCGAAAGCGUGGGGAGCGAACAGG
rnacentral:rRNA from 1 species